CACGUAGUUAGCCGGUGCUUAUUCUUCAGGUACCGUCAUGAGGACCAGAUAUUAGCCAAUCCCUUUUCUUCCCUGACAAAAGAGCUUUACAACCCGAAGGCCUUCUUCACUCACGCGGCAUUGCUGGAUCAGGCUUGCGCCCAUUGUCCAAAAUUCCCCACUGCUGCCUCCCGUAGGAGUCUGGACCGUGUCUCAGUUCCAGUGUGGCUGGUCGUCCUCUCAGACCAGCUACUGAUCGAUGCCUUGGUAGGCUUUUACCCUACCAACUAGCUAAUCAGAUAUCGGCCGCUCCAGGAGCAUGAGGUCUUGCGAGCCCCCAUUUCAUCCUUGGAUCGUAUGCGGUAUUAGCGUAACUUUCGCUACGUUAUCCCCACUCUUGGGUACGUUCCGAUAUAUUACUCACCCGUUCGCCACUCGCCACCAGAGCAAGCUCCGUGCUGCCGUUCGACUUGCAUGUGUAAGGCAUGCCGCCAGCGUUCAA
rnacentral:rRNA from 1 species